AACUUUGCUACAGAUGAUGGUAUUUGCAAAAGCACACAUCCAAAUGACACUCCAAAGACCAAUGCUAAACUGAAUAUCUGGAUGCAAUGGAAGCAAGACCAUUUUUUGAGACCAUUAUGUAUGUGAAGCUUAUGCAUUUUUCCAAAUUGUCAGAAUGGAUCCUUCGCACAGUCUUAUAAAAUUGUAUUAUGCAGCAAAUAACACUACUUAGUACUCAGUAGUAGACAAGCAUGUUAGAAAAUUUCAUCCAAGAAGGGCGACUAAUAACAAUUUAGCCAUAAAAUAAAAUUUAGGCCUUUCAUGUCUCAAUUAUUGGAAGGAAAGAGAACAUUUGGAUUUUCAAUUUUAGGUAGUAAUUAGGCAUGUCAAAGUCAUUGGAAGGAUACAAGUCAGAAUUAGGGGUGUCCCUGGUCAAUGAAGUAGAUGCAUUAGUGUUUGUAUAUUUGUUGGAAAUAUACAUGAGAGCUUGCACAAUUAUCCAGGUCGUGAGAGCUUAAGGAAUUCCAACACCAUUAGUGAUAUGAAUGAAUGACAAAUGUGUUUCUUACGUGAGAGCUUGCACAAUUUAUCAUUACUCCUAAAAAGAACGGUUGAACGGCAUAAUGAAAUGUUUCUGUUGGUUGUUCUUGUCAAGUAUUAGAAAUCCUGUUUCACACCACCAACAUUCUAAAAUCUCUAAAUUGGUUUUGGUUAUGUACUUCACUGUGACUCUUGGAGCAUUUGUAAGAUUUCAGUAUGUUUAAACAUUUACUUCUGUAAUUCUAUGCUAUGCUUUCAUUAAUUAAAUCUCCAUCAAUUCAAACCAAAAAACAAAAAAAAAGGAAAAACAGAUUAAAAGAAAAACUAAGAGAUUGAACAGUUGCAAAAGGCAGAACAGUUGCAAAGAGAAAAAAACAGACAAUUCCACAAACUGAACCAUCAGUUUCUCAUUCUCAACAUACCCCUCAACAACCAUUUUAGAUCACAAGAGCAAAACCAUCAACAAACCAACCAAAAAAGUGAAACCUCAAGAUAUAAACAACAAUUUUCUCUAACUCUCCAGCUUUUGAAUGUCUCUAUUCAAGUUUUUGAACUUUGUCGACCUCAACGAUGGAGCUUCGAAGGGUAUUUCUCAUUUUAAUUUCCUUCCAAACAGCAAUAAACUAAAUAUUUAAAACUUUGAAUAAACAUUUGGCUCAAAGAAUUGAAACCCAGCUUCUAAAACACCAAUUUUACUAAAACCCCAAAUUUUGAGCAAUCUUCUUUAAUUUUUUUAUCACAAAACUUUUGACGGAGUUCUCAAAUUUUCACCAAAUUUGAGAUAAAAGUUUUAAACCACGCUAAAUUUAAACAUCAAACAUAAAUUAGAACAAAACAUAAUGACUUCAUAGAAAUCCAUUUGUGUAUUUUGUAAGCUUUUCCAAAAACCCUUGAAUGGUAAAUCUAGAGACAGAGAAGUUUUAAGCCAUGGAGGAGAGAGAAUCAUGCAUACCUUUUGUGGUAGAGAACAACAAUAUACUUGGUCGAACAAUUCCUUCGCUGGAUGUGGGUUUGAAGAAGGCUUCAAUUCGCUGAGGAGGGUUUUAUCGCAUGAAGAUCAAGAAAGUCAGAAAGGAGUAAGAAGACCCUGUUUUGAUAUGUA
rnacentral:lncRNA from 1 species